CUGGCUACUACCUUGUGCAACUCUGAUUUCAUGGUGUGUCGUUUGAUAGUCCUUUGGAUUUUAUCCACUCCAAAUAAUUGAAGUACCAGUCAGAUACUCAUUCCGUAUACUGUGUUGAGUACUCUGAUAUCAGAGACAUAUCCUGCCCUCAAACAAGGCAGCCUGGUGAUGAAAAGAUGUAGAUAAUUAUAAUGAAAAAGCAAUUGCAGCAGUGAAAUAUUGAGAAAAGUCAUGAAGGGACAUUUAGGCAGCGUUUUGGAGCUGGUUAGAAUUGUGAAGGCAGAGACAAAGGAGCACUCCAGGUGGAACCGCAUGAACAGAGGCUCUGAGAUAGCCCAACCUAGGAUGUCCAGUUAGUCUGCAUUUUCAGAGAUGUGAAAGAAAUCAGCAGACGAGAAGGAUGGAAAAGUCUGUGAAGUAACCUUGAAUUAGAUGAUGAGGACUUCAAAUCUUACAUCUAUGCAAUGGAAUUCUGUGGCAAGUCACCAGAGAUGCUGACCAUGUUCUGACAGUGGAAGAGAGAACCAGUGGAGAUGUGAACUAGCCAGGAGCCUGGGAGGGCGUACGUCCAUGCCUGCAGUGGAGAAUGCAUACGAACACUGACAAGAGGUCCAGGAGGGCAAGGUGGAGUCCAGUUCCCUUGCACAUAGGCCCUGCUGUGUCUUGUUACAUUGAGGACCAACUGGAAUUCAGCCGUCAGAAACAUCCCCCACAUCCCUGCAAUGGCUGACACGAGAACACAGGGAAACCUACAUUACAUUACCAGGACCUACCACAUUGCCUGGCACAUGGUGGCUGCUGGAUGAACACUAGCUGAAUGAAUGCGUGAACACAGAAGCACACAUGGAUUCUAAGACACCGCACACCUGCUUCAGUUGACCCUACUCUUCUAGAAAUCUCAGCUACUCUCAGAGACUUGCCAGGAGCAGGGUACUUACCUGACCCUCUAUACACCUGUCAACAGAGGAAAGGUAUACUUAAGUUAAUUGGUAGUUUUAUAAUGAUGAUCUAUGUAUGAAAAAGA
rnacentral:lncRNA from 1 species